rnacentral:tRNA from 11 species
GCGCGAGUGGCGGAAUUGGCAGACGCGCUGGAUUUAGGUUCCAGUGUCUUCGGACGUGAGGGUUCAAGUCCCUUCUUGCGCACCA